rnacentral:rRNA from 2 species
CCUGGCGGCCAGAGCGAGCGGGAACCACCCGAUCCCAUCCCGACCUCGGAAGUGAAACCGCUUAGCGCCGAUGAUAGUGCAGAUACCUGUGCGAAAGUAGGGAACUGCCAGGC